GACGAACGCUGGCGGCGUGCUUAACACAUGCAAGUCGAACGGAAAGGCCCUGCUUUUGUGGGGUGCUCGAGUGGCGAACGGGUGAGUAACACGUGAGUAACCUGCCCUUGACUUUGGGAUAACUUCAGGAAACUGGGGCUAAUACCGGAUAGGAGCUCCUGCUGCAUGGUGGGGGUUGGAAAGUUUCGGCGGUUGGGGAUGGACUCGCGGCUUAUCAGCUUGUUGGUGGGGUAGUGGCUUACCAAGGCUUUGACGGGUAGCCGGCCUGAGAGGGUGACCGGCCACAUUGGGACUGAGAUACGGCACAGACUCCUACGGGAGGCAGCAGUGGGGAAUAUUGCACAAUGGGCGGAAGCCUGAUGCAGCAACGCCGCGUGCGGGAUGACGGCCUUCGGAUUGUAAACCGCUUUCGCCUGUGACGAAGCGUGAGUGACGGUAAUGGGUAAAGAAGCACCGGCUAACUACGUG
rnacentral:rRNA from 1 species